UCAGUGUCCCACAUACUCUCUUUUUGUUUUCUCUCACAAGCCUGGCUUAAGUUAUUUAUGCACAUGACUUAACAUUAAGAUGGUUUAUUCAUGAGAUUGCCUUAGGAGACAGGAGACAGACAACCUGCUUUUGUGAGGGUCUCUCUGGAGAUUGGCAGUUACACAAUGUAUUGUUACUCCGUCAGGCUCUAUGAGGACAAAACAUCACAAUGUAGAGGCCUCUGUUGAAAAUAAUGAUCUGUGCUGUGUAGGUCCCAAUUUGAGAAGCAUUUAUAUUGAUAAAGUUACUUGAAGAAAAAAAGUCCAGAUUCUUCAGCACCAGACAGGGCAGGUCUGUGUUAAGGAGGAGAGAUCAGUGUCUUUGUCUGUUGGAUCUUCAACAAGCCUGCAGGUGCUUGACCAGAGGCGGAGCAGUCUUGGAUCCUGUUCUGGGAGGUGUGGUUACUAAAGAACAUGAUUACCAAAUGGACCUUGUGAGAGAACUCCAUGGCAGAAAAUCUUGCUGACUACAUCAUAAGAAAAUUACUUUUUUCAGACUCAAAAUAAUCCUGUGACACGAGUUUUACUGCAUCCAUUUUACAGAUGUGGGAACUGAGGCUUGUGUGGUUACCUUGGCACAGUGCAUAGCUAACACAUAGCAGAGCCUGCCAGACAUGUGAACCCAAGUGAAUCAUCCCGGGGCCAGAAUCUCUAGACGCCUAGAUCAUCUCACAUGUGAGUGAAAGCCCAUCAGACUCCCAGAGACGUAAUACUGACAUCGGGAGGCCGUCUAUGGCAACUCCUGCAUUCCAGACUUCUCCUAAUGAAGGCUACAUGGGCGUCAUUGUGGAUUCUGCCGCCUCGGGUUUCUCUCAGUCCCCACUUAGCUGUGGGAGAGGAGGCAGGAGAGACAGGGUCUCCUGUGUGUGCCCAUCACCAGCACCAAGCCCUGCUUUUAAGGACUGUGGGUGAGAGCAGGCCUUCUUUGGGCAUAACGCCCCCAACAUCGCGAAGAUUAGGAGUAAUGCAGCAUAGGUCCUGAACAGGCAGCUGUCUGUAUGGCUCCCUCUGAGGGGCCUACAAAUUCCUCUCAAAAGGGAAAAGACACAAGUCUCCUACUUGGGUUAAAAUAUGUGAAUUUGUCUUCAGAA